GGGUGGUGUUGAUGCUGGUAUGUGGAGCCAGUCAAGCAUUUUGAGAUGUCCUUCACCUCCCACAUGCAGCAGUAGUAAGCAGGCAAGAGGUUGGAUAAGAGUCCUGUGGAAAGGAAAGUGGCUCAAAGCAUUUCUUGUGGUCUUGCUGACUGGGGAGAACAUGCAAGAACACAAAUUUGACUGUAAGCUGUUUUCUGCAGUGCUGUGGUUUGGUUCACAUCCUGAAACAUGGAAAGACCACAUCCCUGAGACUUCUGAACGAUUAGUGUGUACACUUUUCCAUCGUCCUUUGUUCUAAUGUUGACAUGAAACACCAUGGCAGUGAUUUUUGCAGAUCAAUUAUGCACUGAUUUAAGCUUAAUUUGUAGAUUAUAGUUGAAGGUUUGAAAAAUGUGAAAUUAUUGUCUAAAUGUAAAUG